UUUAUUUAACAGUUUCAUUUAAGCAGGUUGAUAAGUAAACAUUUGCUUCAUUUUUAUAAUUCAAUGGAAAUAUAUAUUGUUAGUAUUGUUAAUAACAUAUCA